AGCGAACGCUGGCGGCAGGCCUAACACAUGCAAGUCGAACGGAUCCUUCGGGAUUAGUGGCGGACGGGUGAGUAACACGUGGGAACGUGCCCUUUGGUUCGGAACAACUCAGGGAAACUUGAGCUAAUACCGGAUGUGCCCUUCGGGGAAAGAUUUAUCGCCAUUGGAGCGGCCCGCGUCUGAUUAGCUAGUUGGUGAGGUAAAGGCUCACCAAGGCGACGAUCAGUAGCUGGUCUGAGAGGAUGAUCAGCCACAUUGGGACCGAGACACGGCCCAAACUCCUACGGGAGGCAGCAGUGGGGAAUCUUGCGCAAUGGGCGAAAGCCUGACGCAGCCAUGCCGCGUGAAUGAUGAAGGUCUUAGGAUUGUAAAAUUCUUUCACCGGGGACGAUAAUGACGGUACCCGGAGAAGAAGCCCCGGCUAACUUCGUGCCAGCAGCCGCGGUAAU
rnacentral:rRNA from 1 species